GCUUAACACAUGCAAGUCGAACGGUAACAGCGAGAGCUUGCUCUCGGCUGACGAGUGGCGGACGGGUCAGAGUAACGCGUAGGAAUCUGCCUAGUAGUGGGGGACAACCCGGGGAAACUCGGGCUAAUACCGCAUACGCCCUACGGGGGAAAGCGGGGGAUCUUCGGACCUCGUGCUAUUAGAUAGAGCCUGCGUCGGAUUAGCUUGUUGGUAGGGUAAAGGCCUACCAAGGCGACGAUCCGUAGCUGGUCUGAGAGGACGAUCAGCCACACUGGGACUGAGACACGGCCCAGACUCCUACGGGAGGCAGCAGUGGGGAAUAUUGCACAAUGGGCGCAAGCCUGAUGCAGCAAUGCCGCGUGUAGUGAAGAAGGCCUGCGGGUUGUAAAGCACUUUCAAUUUGGGCAAGAACAAGUUCAGGGUUAAUACCCCCUGAACCUUGACGUUACCUUUAGAAGAAGGCAACCGGCUAACUCCGUGCCAGACAGCCGGCGGUAAUUACGGAGGGGUGCAAGCGUUAAUCGGAAUUACUGGGCGGUAAAAGCGCGCGUAGG
rnacentral:rRNA from 1 species